AAGAGCAGACAUUAAUAAGAACUUCUUUGUAAUCAAGGUGAAACAUCAAUACCUGUGAAGAAUGUCUGUUGUAUUAAGAAACAGUCUCCGGCAGUCUUUAUUAAUGGCUCAGAAAUCUGCUGCUCCCAAAGCCAAUAUUAUAUCAGGACCUCCAAGAGUUAAAAUUUCAAAAGUGGAGAAAUUUUCUCUUGGUGCACUAAUGGUGACAUUAGUAUGUACUCCUUCAGGAAUAAUUUUAUCCAAUCUCAAAAAUUACAGAAAAGAAGACUGAGAAUAUCUUGCAGCAUGUCCUGGCUGUCUUCAGUAACUAAAGAUUCUCAAAUGCCAGAGUGAUUUAGCAGACUUGUGUGUUAAAAAAAAAUAAUAAUAAAUUUUAUAAAAUGAAA